UACAGAGGUCCCAAGCGUUGUUCGGAUUCACUGGGCGUAAAGGGUGCGUAGGUGGUGAGGUAAGUCGGAUGUGAAAGCUCGGAGCUCAACUCCGAAAUGGCAUUGGAUACUAUCCAGCUGGAGGGUCGGAGGGGGGACUGGAAUUCUUGGUGUAGCAGUGAAAUGCGUAGAUAUCAAGAGGAACACCAGUGGCGAAGGCGAGUCCCUGGACGACUCCUGACACUGAGGCACGAAAGCUAGGGGAGCAAACAGG
rnacentral:rRNA from 1 species